CAAAUCGAGAGUGGUUAGGGGAGAGAGGGGGAGGAUGAGAAGGGUGUUUGCGUCUAGAUGCAAAUCCCAUCGCGUCCAAUCCCUAUCCCCCCACCCUUAUUUACGCUUGUUGUGUUUGACAGAGUUAGUGGUGCUUAAUUAUAGA
rnacentral:misc_RNA from 1 species